UGAACUACUACAGGAUGUCCACGACUACGU
rnacentral:sRNA from 1 species